UGUGCUGUAGCGCGUGGUAGCGCGUUGACUUCUAAUCCAAAGGCGUGGGUUCGAAUCCCACCAGGAUAA
rnacentral:tRNA from 1 species